rnacentral:rRNA from 1 species
UGGGAACUACCCUUUAGUACGGAAUAACGUCGAGAAAUUGUCGCUAAUACCGUAUACGCCCUUCGGGGAAAGAUUUAUCGCUAAAGGAUGGGCCCGCGGUGAUUAGGUAGAUGGUGAGGUAACGGCUUACCAUGCCGACGAUCAGUAGCUGGUUUGAGAGGAUGAUCAGCAACACUGGAACUGAGACACGGUCCAGACUCCUACGGGAGGCAGCAGUGGGGAAUAUUGGACAAUGGGCGCAAGUGAUCCAGCCAUGCCGCGUGAGUGAUGAAGGCCUUAGGGUUGUAAAACUCUUUCGAUGGUGAAGAUAAUGACGGUAACCAUUAAAGAAGCCCCGGCUAAUUUCGUGCCAGCAGCCGCGGUAAUACAAAAGGGGCAAGCAUUGUUCGGAAUUACUGGGCGUAAAGCGCGCGUAGCGGCCUAUCAAGCUAGGGGUGAAAUCCCGGAGCUCAACUCCGGAACUGCCCUUAGAACUGGUAAGCUUGAGGAUGUGAGAGGAUAGUGGAAUACCGAGUGUAGAGGUGAAAUUCGUAGAUAUUCGGUGGAACACCAGUGGCGAAGGGACUGUCUGGCACAUUUCUGACGCUGAGGUGCGAAAGGUGGGGAGCGAACAGGAUUAGAUACCCUGGUAGUCCACGCCGUAAACGAUGAGGGCCAGUUGUCGGGCAGCAUGCUGUUCGGUGACGCAGUUAACGCAUUAAGCCCUCCGCCUGGGGAGUACGG